rnacentral:rRNA from 1 species
AGAGUUUGAUCAUGGCUCAGGAUGAACGCUAGCGGCAGGCUUAACACAUGCAAGUCGAGGGGUAUGGUAGCAAUACCAGAGACCGGCAAACGGGUGCGGAACACGUACACAAUUUACCUCGAUCUGGGGCAUAGCCCGGAGAAAUCCGGAUUAACUCCCCAUAAGAUAGUAGAGUGGCAUCACUCAGCUAUUAAAACUCCGGUGGAUCGAGAUGAGUGUGCGUCCCAUUAGCUAGUUGGUAGGGUAAAGGCCUACCAAGGCGACGAUGGGUAGCUGGUGUGAGAGCACGACCAGCCACACGGGCACUGAGACACGGGCCCGACUCCUACGGGAGGCAGCAGUGAGGAAUAUUGGUCAAUGGACGCAAGUCUGAACCAGCCAUGCCGCGUGAAGGAUGAAGGCCUUCUGGGUUGUAAACUUCUUUUAUCUGGGAAGAAACCUCAGUUUUCUAACUGAGCCGACGGUACCAGAGGAAUAAGCACCGGCUAACUCCGUGCCAGCAGCCGCGGUAAUACGGAGGGUGCAAGCGUUAUCCGGAUUUACUGGGUUUAAAGGGUGUGUAGGCGGGCGUUUAAGUCAGUGGUGAAAUCUCCGAGCUCAACUCGGAAACUGCCAUUGAUACUAUUCGUCUUGAAUAUCGUUGAGGUAGGCGGAAUAUAUCAUGUAGCGGUGAAAUGCAUAGAUAUGAUAUAGAACACCAAUUGCGAAGGCAGCUUGCUAAACGAUGAUUGACGCUGAGGCACGAAAGCGUGGGGAUCAAACAGGAUUAGAUACCCUGGUAGUCCACGCCCUAAACGAUGAUUACUCGACAUACGCGAUACACAGUGUGUGUCUGAGCGAAAGCAUUAAGUAAUCCACCUGGGAAGUACGACCGCAAGGUUGAAACUCAAAGGAAUUGACGGGGGUCCGCACAAGCGGUGGAGCAUGGUGGUUUAAUUCGAUGAUACGCGAGGAACCUUACCUGGGCUAGAAUGCUG